AAUUUUAUACUAUUUAGUUUCUUACAGCAGACUGCGCUGCAAGAGUACAGUAAGUACUCGUUCAAUCUCAGAUAUUAUGCACUUCUGUCGCAAUUUUGGACUAUAUUGUGUUACCAGGAUAUUAUCCUAAUCAGCAGAUUAGACAGUGACAUAUAUGUGCUAUAAACAAGUUAUUCUUAUCUUUCCCCCUUCCAGUUUGAAUUAUCAUACCUUAUCAUACAUUCGACAGCAGCAGUCAUCAGUCACGCAGUCGUCAUUCGCGCAGUCUCACACAUGACAAAAUGUAUUGCAUUGGAUUACCAAUAUGUGAAAAUUUUUUCUACUCUCUAUACAUAUAUUAAUUUAAAAAAUGGAUAAAAAUAUAUAACGUAAAUUUUUCGACAGUGAUUUUGCGCCGAUAGAAAUAUUAAUGUUAUAAAUUAUACCCAGUAAACUUUAUACUAUACUGGAAUUCUUGGCCGCUUACCGCAACUACGAAGAGAUAAAAGACAACAGAAAAGACUUCAGAAACGAAGGUUCGUCAACUCACAGAAUAUCUUCACCAUUUCGAGGAUUAUCCACAACAGA